AUGAUAAGUUCGGGAGAGAAUAUGCUUUAAGCAUAACGCCGAAGGGGCAGCCGCAGAAAACUCUCAGGCAAAAGGACCGGACUUUGACG
rfam:Eubacterium sp. CAG:252 genomic scaffold, scf93